GCUGAAGAAGACAAACACUUGUGUUAGUUUUUAUUCUUCAUUUUGAUACAGAGUGUUUCGUAAAUAGGUGAACAAACUUUGGUAUCGUAUUUUCUACAGGUUUGAUCAUAUUUUUAUCAGGUUCUAUACAUUUCAUUUUCAUGGUACAAAAUUUUUCUAAUCAUACAUAGAAUUAAUUAAUAUGUAAAUGUUAUAGUAAAUGUAAGUACUUCUCGAAGCCGCUGUAGUUGCCAUGCGUAGAAUUAUGAACACUGUCAACAUUUUCUUCUGUUACAAACGAUACAGUAGAAUAAGUUAACAUUAUAGAGACCCUAACUAUAUAUUUCUGAAACAUCUUGUACAUAAUAUUAGUUGUUACAUAUAGUUUCAUAUUCUAUAUAAAUAUGAUUAUAUGCUCUAUAAUAUUUCUUUCAUAGAUGAUAACGGAAAAAUUCGUUAACUCCUGAAGUGGACGAUUCAAACUGUAUAUUAGUUGAGGAGUAUAUACAACAGUGAUUUCGUUUGUGAAGAACUCACUGCUAUAAUCUGCAAUAUUGUAUUCCAUUUUGUUCAUAUACUUUUAAUAGUCGGUAAUUUCUUGAACAUUACAAUACAAGUAGCGAUAAUACAAAAUAAUAAGAUUGUUCAAUUUUUCAAAGGUUGACAAAUUAAAGAUCAAUACCUAAAUAUCAAUUCAACAAGAAUCAACGUUGAAUCGCGUAGACUUUUGAGUUGGUAUGCGUCCAGCUGUGUGAAAGACAGCCAAUUAUCGAUAUUUUAGGUAUACCUUGAACUAACGUCGAACUUAGAUCGCUAAUAACAUUCACUGAUGAAUGGCAAAAGAGUUUGCGGCCAAUUGAACACUUGAAGGAGGCGAGACUAUAAUAAAACUAAAUGAAAGCGCAUACCAGAUGAAUUAUAAGUGAACGAUUUAAAUGUACGUAUAUAUCCUACAAUCUCCUACGGAUGACUGACACGGUGCUCACGUCGGUGAACUAUCUUUGAUCUUUCACAGGAAAUGUUAUAACUAGCUAUACAUAUUACAUAUAUAUAUAAAAUAUAAUUCUUUUAUUUCUGUAGAUAAGUCGGUAAUUCUAAAUAAUACCAGGUGAUAAUGGACACAAUAUAGAUAAUGUGCCAAUUGUAAUGUGUAAUUUAUGUAAAGUAUAAUUAUGUUCUGCUCGUCGUAUCUGUAGACAAUUUAAUUUUUAUACAGUUUAAGGACAGAGAUAUCUCAUACACGACUAUAUAACUAUAAUCUCACUUAAAAACUUUUGGCACAUCUUGUAUUUGUUCUGUUAAUAAUGCACAGGAAGGUAUAGACGACUUAGGUAUUAUCCGUUUGAAUAAUUUCCAUCCUUCCAUGACCUUGAACAGUUUAAAAGUCUAUGUUUCAAAUGUAGCUUCUCCGAGAUUAUAGCAUUUGUUUAAAAAUGUAUAGAUUAAUUUUAGUUUCGAAAGGCCCCGGUGGCCGAUAGACAUGAAAUUUGAGGAGGCCUGAUGAAAGGGAGCAGGGGAGUGUAUGUCCCAAAUAUAAAAUUUUAGUUUCGGGUAUUUAUUUAUUGAUAUAUCUCCGAGGUAUUGAUACAGAACUUGCAGUACUGUACAUUAAAUUCUAUCUAUACUGAUGUUAUUAAUGCAAGCGUCAUUACUGAAAUAAUGUCGACUGUCGAGCAGCCGAUGAUGCAAUAGCGAUAUCGGCUUUAGUAUCUAUGGGGUGUUCCACCUAUAACCCGACCACUUCUUUUUAAGCUACGUUAUAUUUACAUCUUAAUUUCGCUGGCCAAAAAAUAUUGGGUUACACUGUACUUUGUAAUUUUGGAUACCGUACCGGAUACUGUCCGGAUGGAGAUAGAAAAGUACGAGUAAUAUCGGUUAGGACUAGACUAUAUAUUUUUCUUGUCGAAAGACUACUUUGCCAAUUUCGCUGAUCUCAAAAUAGGUUGAGAAAUUUUAUAUUUUGAACGACUUUUUCCUAUAGAGGCAACCAAUGGUUGGCCUUAGUUUUCGAGUUAUACCCAAAAUAUCUCGCCACUCCGCUUUAAUUUUCAAGUUGGCUUAGGUUAAUACUAAUGUUAAUCCAGCAUUUGAUAGCUUAAACACUUUAAAGAAUAAUUAAAUAAAAUAUAAAACAUCCUUUGUGCGGUCGAGAUUACAAUAAUCUAUUUUACGUGAAACACCCUAUAGAUACUGAGGCGGAUAUAGCUGCUGUAUCAUCGCCUACUUAAGAGUUAACGUUGAUGACUACUACAACAAAGACGGUUAUAUUAAUAACGUCUGCGUAGACAGAAUUCAAUGUAUAAAUUUUUAAAUGUCUAAAAAAUGUCUAAUAUUUUAUAUUUGGGAUUCAUCACCGCCAUCAAAUCUCGAAUCGAUAGGUUACCGGGGCCUUUCGGAACUUCAACCCAGUAACGUUCCCAUUCGGUUUAUUUACAUCCCUUUAUCAAUCAAUAAUUACUUCAAAAGGUAUUCAUUUCCAAGUAUUCGGUAUGCGAUGCAGAGAUUAUUACAUAUUAUUUAAUCAUUGAACUCUAUAAAAUUUUAUGAAAAGAUAAUAACGAUAAUUAUUUUUCUUAUAGAUAAAAAGUAUUCUUUCCUUUGGAAGCCAUUUUUUCCAGUUCAAACUUUUCGAAACUCUUCUGUCGACAUUCUUGUCUGGUUUUUAAAAAUAACGUUCUUUAACGAAUUGCUUUCUGUAAUCUAGGAAUAAUAGCUGGUGACACCGGCUAUUUAUCAAAAAAUUACAGCGCUUAUCGCAUGGAUAUAUCGGCCAUUCGGUCGACGUGGCAGUGUUCAACGAUCCUCAAAGCCUAAAACAUCUUGUUCAGGUUCUACAUUAUUUUUUCAUAUAAAAUCAGUGUAUUUUCGAUGCACUCAGUGCGGCUCAAAAUAAUUUUUUUAUCUCUUUUAUAUGGAAAUAUAAAAAUAAGGCUGGUAGCUUCUAUUACUUCAUAGACAUCCUACAUCAUUAGAUCUUGGAAAAUAUAUGGGACACUUUGCAGCAUAGGAAAGAACAUAGCAAUUGCGUCACGAAUUAUUAAUCGAUACAUAAAUAUUUGUGAAGCUAACUUUCUUGUCAUGAGAAUAUGCAAAAUGUUUCUACCUUUUUUCGCAAAAUGCUGGUAUCAUAUUCUAUGAUUAAAAAUAAGAGAAAAAUGUUAUAUAAAUAUAUAUUCAAAUAUUCUUUAUUAAAAAAUUAUAACAAAGAUUCAAAAUAACAACAGACUAGUUUUCGCUCAAUGGAGUAUAUGAACAAAUCGGCGAUUUAUGUAGUUCCAUUUUAAUGACAUCUGUCAAUGCCAUAUUUAUAAGAACUGAAUUUAAAAUGCAACUAACCUAAGUAAAUACAUAUCGCAAAUCUAUUUUUAUAGUGUAUCGAUGAUGAAAACCGUAACUGUUUCGUAUUUUUGUUAUAAUUUUUUAAGAAAGCAUUUUUAAGCCUAUGUUUAUAUAACAUUUUUCUCUUAUUUUUACUCUUAGAAUAUGCUGGUGUCAUUUUACGGGAAAAAAUAGGGACACCCUAUAUAUGAAACAAGGAUAUACUGUAAUAUAUAAUUUAUUAUGUUACUAUAAAAUCAUUUAAUCAAUUUCUAAUAUACAUAUAUUGUUUUCUUCUAGAGUGAUAAUUCAUCUUUUCAUAAGAAUGCACAUGAAACAAAAAGAAGCUUUUGCUAAUCGUGCAACAUACGCAUCAUCUCGAACAUUACUAUCGCCUAAGCGCUUCUAUCGAGAAACGAAAACAAAAGCAUCAUACCACAGUACCAAAAAAUAGCAAAUGUAUAACCCAACCCGACCCAACGGAAAAAAAGCAGAAAAAUUAUACUUACAACUUACGUGCGAUAAAGAGCAAUGAAGAAUUCGCAGCAUCUGUCGCCCAGAUAGAAAUCUUGUUUUACACAUUCGGCACAGUUGACAUUAAUGCCUCGACGUCGCUGAAGCGUAGUAUAAUGUAAUCACAGGGAGUUUGAGGUUAUGCUAGAUGAACGACAACGUCGUGUUUAACGGCUGGCAUAUCACUAUUGGGCCAAGAAAGCGUAAAUGCGCGUUCUCGAAAGGAAAAGCUACGUGAACGUCAACAGAACGUGGAUAUCUCGGAUUGUUCAACAGCUCUGUUCCUUUUUUUCCUGACACCCUUCAUUUUUCCCUUCCUCUUUAUUUGUUUAAUCGUAUGCCUCUCUAUACGACCGAGACAGAUUGAACCAUGUGUAGAAAAAUUCGCUAGAAUACGAAACCCACAGUGAGAUGCCGUGGCCAAAGAGCGAAGUCCAUUUGAGCCAUGAGUCGAUGGUGAACCCGGUGUUCCCACCCUACGACUCUGCGCUGUCUAUUGGGCGCACCCUCUUCAGUCGGCCUUGCGCAUCGCGUCAAAUGCGGGAAAUUCAAGUGACAAACCUUAUCGAUUCUCUUAUUUCCUUGACAUAACUUUUAUUAGAGAUUGUGGUUUUGAACUAGUAUUAAUACACUCGACCUGUCAAUAUUCGACUACAUAGUAUUAAAAAGACACGUGUACUUGUAUAUUAUGCAUUUAUUAUAUUAUGCAUAUAUUAUGCAUAAUUGUAUAAUUAAGUUUAUUAUUCAUGCUGUAUACUAAUGUUUUACUAAAUGUAUGUUUGCAGUAAAUGUACUGUAGCCUCUAUGUACAUUUUCGAAUUUCAAAUUUUAAUAUUAUAUUCACGAUAGUUAUGUAUCACUAUAGUGCUAAUGAAAUUUCAUAAAGUUUCGUACAAUGCAUAUAAUAUAUUUAUAAAAAUUGUGUGUGGUAAGUAUCCUAAUAUUUUUGUGACCUGUUGUAUUUAAAUACACAUAUAUUAUUUCACGCGUAUUUAGUUAAGAUAAAUAAUACAAGUAAUGCGUGAGAUUUCAUAAAAUUUUUUAAUCGAUCAAUUAUUUUUGUAUUUUUACAGAUUUAUGAAUAAAUUGGAUAACAUGAAAGAGUA